rnacentral:rRNA from 1 species
UACGAAGGGGCUAGCGUUGCUCGGAAUCACUGGGCGUAAAGGGUGCGUAGGCGGGUCUUUAAGUCAGGGGUGAAAUCCUGGAGCUCAACUCCAGAACUGCCUUUGAUACUGAGGAUCUUGAGUUCGGGAGAGGUGAGUGGAACUGCGAGUGUAGAGGUGAAAAUUCGUAGAUAUUCGCAAGAACACCAGUGGCGAAGGCGCUCACUGGCCCGAUACUGACGCUGAGGCACGAAAGCGUGGGGAG